GACUAGAACUUUCUAUGGCUGCUCCGUGCAGGUGAACGCUCAGCCAACUCGGAACCCCGGGGCCCCACCUGACCUUCCUUUGUGAAGAGCCCAGAGCCUUUGUCCAAAGUUGCAUCACUUCCCACCCAGCCCUUCCUGAGCCAACUCCCUGAUGUCUCCCGGAGAACACAGUCGGCAGCGUCCCAAUGACAUCAGGGAAACUCCUAUUUCCAGCAGUUUCUCCUUCAGCUGCAAAAAUGUGCCGUGGUAGACAGGGUGUGGGCUUUUGAAGUCUCUGCAGGAAGCAGCGCUGUUUUGUCAGCACCACAUCUGAGCGCAUCUUCUGUGAGAGCUGUACUUGCUCAGCUGGUGUGCAGCCCUCCCAUCCCCUCACCCUGUCCAUCGCCACACCCGACAGGGCCAGGGAGGGCAGACCCCACACCACGUGCCGGGGGUUAAGGAAGACAGAG
rnacentral:lncRNA from 1 species